ACGAGAACUGGUUGGAGGAGAGUGUUGGGAAUGCAGCGGCAAAGGGGUUGCUGUUGCUCGGGAAAACGAGAGAAGAGAAAACGAGAGAAACGUGGAAACGAGCAGACUAACGGGAAUGACCAAGACGCAGAAAGGACACCGAUCAAAGGACCUCGCGGAGUAAAGACGCACUCAUGAGAAUAGGUCUAGGCGGGAAGUUGUUUGGUGUAUAGAUGGUAUAGGAAGAACCAUUGAGGGCCGGGAGGCAGGUUUGUUUACUUUUCUACUCAUGCUGGAAAGACAAUCGGGAAGGAAGAUGAGGAGACAGAGCACUGGAGGGAGCAGUUUGGUGUGGGGGUGUCGAGUGAGGAAAAUAUCCUUCUUUUCGUCUUGGUUUGGGUUGAGGGUUAUUUCGGAUCCCUGUGUUGGCGGUGUUUGGUUUGGCGCAGAGGAGUUAGACUUAGUCCUGUCACGUAACCUGUUUCCUGUACGUAUGUAACGGGUUGACGAGCUAAAAGAAAAGAAUUUGAGGACUUGAAUAGUGCUCUCGUCUUCUUCGACUUAGAAAUCCGGAAACAAAAAAGAAUUUGAGGACUUG